rnacentral:miRNA from 1 species
UCGACUACUGUUGAGUCAUCAUCAGGAAUGAUAAUUUCUGAUGAUGACUCAACAGUAGUCGA